rnacentral:rRNA from 1 species
UACGUAGGCAGCAAGCGUUGUUCGGAGUUACUGGGCGUAAAGGGUGUGUAGGCGGUUCUUUAAGUUUGGUGUGAAAUCUCCCGGCUCAACUGGGAGGGUGCGCCGAAUACUGAGGGACUAGGGUACGGGAGAGGAAAGUGGAAUUCCUGGUGUAGCGGUGAAAUGCGUAGAUAUCAGGAGGAACACCGGUGGUGUAGACGGCUUUCUGGACCGUAACUGACGCUGAAACACGAAAGCGUGGGUAGCAAACAGG